UAACGGCCCGAAGGCCGGGGCGCCAAGUUCGUCCGGCGGAAAAAGGCCACAAAACCGGGUGGGCUAUAGCCUUGGGGGGUGGGGCUGGCCAAGUUCGUCCGCCGGACUCGGAAUGGCGCGAGACUUUGCGAGGCGCCUCCGUGUGCCAAAAAUAGGCUACGGGCACAGCCGCGCCCAAAAAUAACCUCGCGAAGGCCGGGACGCCAAGUUCGUCCAGCGGAAAAAGUCCACAAAAACGGGUGGGCUAUAGCCUUGGGGGGUGGGGCUGGCCAACUUCGUCCGCUGGACUCGGAAUGGCGCGAGACUUUGCGAGGCACCUCCGUGUGCCAAAAAUAGGCCGCGGACACAGCGGCGCCCAAAAAUUAACGGCCCGAAGGCCGGGGCGCCAAGUUCGUCCGGCGGAAAAAGGCCACAAAACCGGGUGGGCUAUAGCCUUGGGGGGUGGGGCUGGCCAAGUUCGUCCGCCGGACUCGGAAUGGCGCGAGACUUUACGAGGCGCCUCCGUGUGCCAAAAAUAUGCUACGGUCGGAGCCGAGCCCAAAAGUAACGGCCAGAAGGCCGGGGCGCCAAGUUCGUCCAGCGGAAAAAGGCCACAAAAACGGGUGGGCUAUAGCCUUGGGGGGUGGGGCUGGCCAAG
rnacentral:lncRNA from 1 species